UGCGGUGGCCAAGUGUGAUCCGAGAGGUAUUUAUUACGGCAUGCCAUCGGGGCGGCUUCAAAGGAAAUUCCUGCCUGUCCCUGAUCAUCCCUGGAAGCCUGGAGAGGAAGACCGGUGCGCUGGGAAGCAACCCAUAACAGAGUUAAGUGGUGGAUACAGCCCUGACAUAUGGAGCCACACCUGCACAACACAACCAUACUGAAAAGACUCUCUCUGGACAGCAGCCUGGUGGAGUACAUGGAUGCCAACAAAUGCAUUGAGGAGCUGCUAAAGCAACUGGAGGAGGAGCGCAGGAACGUGCGACG